rnacentral:rRNA from 1 species
AUUGCCCUAGUAACGGCGAGUGAAGCGGCAACAGCUCAAAUUUGAAAUCUGGCCCUCGGGUCCGAAUUGUAAUUUGUAGAGGAUGCUUUUGGUGAGGUACCUUCCGAGUUCCCUGGAACGGGACGCCAUAGAGGGUGAGAGCCCCGUCUGGUUGGAUACCGAUCCUCUGUAAAGCUCCUUCGACGAGUCGAGUAGUUUGGGAAUGCUGCUCUAAAUGGGAGGUAUAUGUCUUCUAAAGCUAAAUAUUGGCCAGAGACCGAUAGCGCACAAGUAGAGUGAUCGAAAGAUGAAAAGCACUUUGAAAAGAGAGUUAAAAAGUACGUGAAAUUGUUGAAAGGGAAGCGCUCAUGACCAGACUUGGGCUUGGUUGAUCAUCCAGGGUUCUCCCUGGUGCACUCUUCCAGCCCAGGCCAGCAUCAGUUCGCUGUGGGGGAUAAAGGCUUUGGGAAUGUGGCUCCUCCGGGAGUGUUAUAGCCCAUUGUGUAAUACCCUGUGGUGGACUGAGGUUCGCGCAUCUGCAAGGAUGCUGGCGUAAUGGUCAUCAGCGACCCGUCUUGAAACACGGACCAAGGAGUCGUCUUCGUAUGCGAGUGUUCGGGUGUUAAACCCCUACGCGUAAUGAAAGUGAACGCAGGUGAGAGCUUCGGCGCAUCAUCGACCGAUCCUGAUGUUCUCGGAUGGAUUUGAGUAAGAGCAUACGGGGCCGGACCCGAAAGAAGGUGAACUAUGCCUGUAUAGGGUGAAGCCAGAGGAAACUCUGGUGGAGGCUCGCAGCGGUUCUGACGUGCAAAUCGAUCGUCAAAUAUGGGCAUGGGGGCGAAAGACUAAUCGAACCUUCUAGUAGCUGGUUUCCGCCGC